rnacentral:rRNA from 1 species
GACGAACGCUGGCGGCGUGCCUAAUACAUGCAAGUCGAGCGGGGAUUAUGCUUGAUCGCUUCGGUGAGACGGCAUAUAUCCUAGCGGCGGACGGGUGAGUAACGCGUGGGUAAUCUACCUCGUAGUUCGGGAUAACAGGCCGAAAGGCUUGCUAAUACCGGAUGAGUUCAUGCUUAUGCAUAUAGGCAUGAAGAAAGGGCUAGCCCGCUAUGAGAUGAGCCCGCGUCCCAUUAGCUUGUUGGUGGGGUAACGGCCUACCAAGGCAACGAUGGGUAGCCGGCCUGAGAGGGUGUACGGCCACACUGGGACUGAGACACGGCCCAGACUCCUACGGGGGGCAGCAGUAGGGAAUUUUCGGCAAUGGGCGAAAGCCUGACCGAGCGACGCCGCGUGAGGGACGAAGGCCUUCGGGUUGUAAACCUCUGUCUGGGGGAUGAGAACGGACGGUACCCCCGGACGGAAGCCCGGCUAACUACGUG